rnacentral:rRNA from 1 species
AUUGAACGCUGGCGGCAGGCCUAACACAUGCAAGUCGAACGAGUGGCGGACGGGUGAGUAAUGUCUGGGAAACUGCCCGAUGGAGGGGGAUAACUACUGGAAACGGUAGCUAAUACCGCAUACCAUCGGAUUUGCCCAGAUGGGAUUGGCUAGUAGGUGGGGUAACGGCUCACAUAGGCGACGAUCCCUAGCUGGUCUGAGCGGUUGACCGGCCACACUGGACCUGAGACACGGUCAAGAUCCCUACGGGAGGAAGAAGGGGGGAAUAUUGGACAAUGGGCGCAAGCCUGAUGCAGCAAUGCGGCGUGUAUGAGGAGGGCCUUCGGGUGGUAAGGUCCUUUAAGCGAGGAGGCGUUACUCGAAGAAGAAGCACCGGCUAACUCCGUGCCAGCAGCCGCGGUAAUAC